rnacentral:rRNA from 1 species
GACGAACGCUGGCGGCGUGCUUAACACAUGCAAGUCGAACGGAAAGGCCCUGCUUUUGUGGGGUGCUCGAGUGGCGAACGGGUGAGUAACACGUGAGUAACCUGCCCUUGACUUUGGGAUAACUUCAGGAAACUGGGGCUAAUACCGGAUAGGAGCUCCUGCUGCAUGGUGGGGGUUGGAAAGUUUCGGCGGGUGGGGAUGGACGCGCGGCUUAUCAGCUUGUUGGUGGGGUAGUGGCUUACCAAGGCUUUGACGGGUAGCCGGCCUGAGAGGGUGACCGGCCACAUUGGGACUGAGAUACGGCCCAGACUCCUACGGGAGGCAGCAGUGGGGAAUAUUGCACAAUGGGCGGAAGCCUGAUGCAGCAACGCCGCGUGCGGGAUGACGGCCUUCGGGUUGUAAACCGCUUUCGCCCGUGACGAAGCGUGAGUGACGGUAAUGGGUAAAGAAGCACCGGCUAACUACGUG